rnacentral:rRNA from 1 species
AGGGUGUAAACGCUGCAGACUUGGUGUUGGAGGCCCUUUGGGGGCAUUCAGUGCCGGAGAGAAGUUGUUAAGUCUGCUACUUGGGGAGUACGUCCGCAAGGAUGAAACUUAAAGGAAUUGGCGGGGGGAGCACCGCAACGGGAGGAGCGUGCGGUUUAAUUGGAUUCAACACCGUAAACUCACCAGGGAAGACUGUUACAUGAAAGCCGAGAUGAAGACUCUGCUAGAUUUUCAGAGAGGAGGUGCAUGGCGUCAGUGACU